UCACUCAUUUAUGGUUUGUAUCAUAAAUGGCCAACACAGAGGGGGUAGAGCACUCCUCACUAAAAACCCAGAGCAGAAUUGCAUGGAAUUUCUGUUUUGGAUCCUGUCAUGAGGAACAUAA